UCUGCAAACGAGAUAAGGAGUGGUGGGCACACCCUGCUGACUACACCAGCGACACCCUGGCUGCUCCCACUGCAGCCCAGCCAGCAGCAGGGCCGGGGAGAGAUGCCUGAUGGGCACGGAGUGUGAAAGGAUCCGCGGGGAGCUGAGGAUGUUUGUCCAGCCGUAAAGAGAACAGAUUACUGAGAAGAUUAAAGUCCUUGGCCUGCACCUAAAGAUGAAGAGAUAGAGGCACAUAUGAUCUGCCUCCCAGCAGAUGCAGUUGGGUGCCAGACGCUUCCCGCAUCGUGUGAAGCACGGAGGGUCCAAGCCGGUGACUGAGCACCCAGGAAGCUGAAAGAUCUUUGUUCACCAUUUUUCAGGCACGACUUCUCAGCAAACCCACCAAUCUGCAGAGCUGGAAAGCUGAUGUUGGCUGGUAACAGCAGGUGGAGGAGAGAGAAAAACUUUUGGAUAACCUGGGGCUGCUCCAGGACAGGAGGAAAGGUGCCCCAUCACCACACCAUGCUGGUGGUGAAAACAUGCAAAGCUCUUCUCCAAGAGGUGAAGUUUUAAGUGACAACUUUGACUGCAGUUUGCACAUAUGCCUAAUUAACUCAAAAUUAAUGGCCCAGAACCUAGUACAACAGUUGUGCUUAAUGCUGCAGAAAAAAACCCUCCCAUUUAUGUCCAGGGUAAUACUUUUUUCCCUAAAUCACCACUGGUUAGUACUGCAUAUCAAAAAAUUGUAAGUGUAAGUGUAAUGUAUACAUUUAUAUUGGUUUAGUUUCUUGUGCCCU